rnacentral:rRNA from 1 species
CGCGCAGGCGGUCCAUUCAGUCGCUGGUGAAAGCCCCACGCUCAACGUGGGAAGGUCCGGCGAGACGGGUGGACUGGAGGCAGGGAGAGGUCGGUGGAAUUCCGGGUGUAGUGGUGAAAUGCGUAGAGAUCCGGAGGAACACCAGAGGCGAAGGCGGCCGACUGGACCUGACCUGACGCUGAGGCGCGAAGGCGUGGGGAGCGAACG